ACGCUGGCGGCAGGCUUAACACAUGCAAGUCGAACGGUAGCAGGAGAAAGCUUGCUUUCUUGCUGACGAGUGGCGGACGGGUGAGUAAUGCUUGGGAAUCUGGCUUAUGGAGGGGGAUAACUACGGGAAACUGUAGCUAAUACCGCGUAGUGUCGAGAGACGAAAGUGCGGGACCGCAAGGCCGCAUGCCAUGAGAUGAGCCCAAGUGGGAUUAGGUAGUUGGUGGGGUAAAGGCCUACCAAGCCUGCGAUCUCUAGCUGGUCUGAGAGGAUGGCCAGCCACACUGGAACUGAGACACGGUCCAGACUCCUACGGGAGGCAGCAGUGGGGAAUAUUGCGCAAUGGGGGGAACCCUGACGCAGCCAUGCCGCGUGAAUGAAGAAGGCCUUCGGGUUGUAAAGUUCUUUCGGUAUUGAGGAAGGUUGAUGUGUUAAUAGUACAUCAAAUUGACGUUAAAUACAGAAGAAGCACCGGCUAACUCCGUGCCAGCAGCCGCGGUAAUACGGAGGGUGCGAGCGUUAAUCGGAAUAACUGGGCGUAAAGGGCACGCAGGCGGUUAUUUAUGUGAGGUGUGAAAGCCCCGGGCUUAACCUGGGAAUUGCAUUUCAGACUGGGUAACUAGAGUACUUUAGGGAGGGGUAGAAUUCCACGUGUAGCGGUGAAAUGCGUAGAGAUGUGGAGGAAUACCGAAGGCGAAGGCAGCCCCUUGGGAAUGUACUGACGCUCAUGUGCGAAAGCGUGGGGAGCAAACAGGAUUAGAUACCCUGGUAGUCCACGCUGUAAACGCUGUCGAUUUGGGGAUUGGGCUUAGAGCUUGGUGCCCGUAGCUAACGUGAUAAAUCGACCGCCUGGGGAGUACGGCCGCAAGGUUAAAACUCAAAUGAAUUGACGGGGGCCCGCACAAGC
rnacentral:rRNA from 1 species